GGAUAGCGGAGAAAUUCCAAUCGAACUCGGAGAUAGCUGGUUCUCCUCGAAAUAGUUUUAGGACUAGCCUUGUUUAGUAGUAUGUGGGGGUAGAGCACUGAAUGAGCUAGGGGCCAAACCAGGUUACUGAACUCUAUCAAACUCCGAAUACCAUGUACGUAAGAACAGGAGUCAGACUGCGGGAGCUAAGUUCCGUGGUCAAAAGGGAAAGAGCCCAGAUCGUCAAUUAAGGUCCCAAAGAUAUAGUUAAGUGGAAAACGAUGUGAUUUUGCGUAAACAACCAGGAUGUUGGCUUAGAAGCAGCCAUUCAUUUAAAGAGUGCGUAAUAGCUCACUGGUCGAGUGGAGUUGCGCGGAAAAUUACCGGGGCUAAACUAUACACCGAAAUUGCGGAUUCAUGAGUAAUCAUGAGUGGUAGAGGAGCAUUCUAUAGUAGGACGAAGGUAGAUCGAAAGGACUGCUGGACGAGAUAGAAGAGAGAAUGCCGGAAUAAGUAGCGAAAGCAUGGUGAGAAUCCAUGCCAUCGAAAGUCUAAGGUUUCCUGGGGAAGGUUCGUCCGCCCAGGGUAAGUCGGGACCUAAGGAGAGGCCGAAAGGCGUAUCUGAUGGACAGCAGGUAGAAAUUCCUGCACCACCGAUAUACUUAAAAAAUGCAAGGGACACAGUAGUGGAAGGAAAGCGAGGAAGAGGAAAGACUCGUAUCGAAAGAUAUAGUGAAAAAAUAAGUAACGAAUUUCCAAGAAGCACACUGGCGAGAAAAGCUUGUAGGAAUUGUAUAAAGGUGCCCGUACCGCAAACCGACACAGGUAGAUGAGGAGAGGAUCCUAAGAUGAGCGAGAGAAGCAUUGUUAAGGAACUCGGCAAAUUGACCCCGUAACUUAGGGAGAAGGGGUGCCAAAGUAAAAUUUGGUCGCAGAGAAGAGGCCCAAGCAACUGUUUAACAAAAACACAGGUUUCUGCUAAAUCGAAAGAUGAAGUAUAGGAGCUGACGCCUGCCCAGUGCUGGAAGGUUAAGGGGAAGAGUUAGAUGUAAGUCGAAGCUUAGAACCAAAGCCCCAGUGAACGGCGGCCGUAACUAUAACGGUCCUAAGGUAGCGAAAUUCCUUGUCAGGUAAGUUCUGACCCGCACGAAAGGCGUAAUGAUUUGGGCGCUGUCUCGACAAUGUACUCGGCGAAAUUGUAGUACUAGUGAAGAUGCUAGUUACCUGCGACAAGACAGAAAGACCCCAUGGAGCUUUACUGUAGCUUGAUACUGGGUUUCGAUAAUUUAUGUACAGGAUAGGUGGGAGGCGAAGAAGCAAUUGCGCCAGCAGUUGUGGAGUCAUCCUUGGGAUACCACCCUUAAGUUAUUGAAAUUCUAACCUGUAGUCCUGAGCGGGCUAGGGGACAAUGUCAGGCGGGCAGUUUGACUGGGGCGGUCGCCUCCAAAAGAGUAACGGAGGCGCGCAAAGGUUUCCUCAGCGCGGACAGAAAUCGCGCGAAAGAGUGCAAAGGCAGAAGGAAGCUUAACUGAGAGACUGACAAGUCGACCAGAUACGAAAGUAGGUCUUAGUGAUCCGGCGGUAGUGAGUGGAAAUGCCGUCGCUCAACGGACAAAAGUUACCCUGGGGAUAACAGGCUUAUCUCCCCCAAGAGUUCACAUCGACGGGGAGGUU
rnacentral:rRNA from 1 species